UACGGGGGGGGGCAAGCGUUGUUCGGAAUUACUGGGGCGUAAAGGGUUUGUAGGUGGCCCGCUAAGUCACACGUGAAAUCCCUCAGCUUAACUGGGGAACUGCGUGUGAGACUGGCAGGCUCGAGGGCAGGAGAGGACGCGGAAUUCCAGGUGUAGCGGUGAAAUGCGUAGAUAUCAUCUGGAACGCCAAUGGUGAAGACAGCUCGCUGGGGGUGUACUGACACUGAGACACGAAAGCCAGGGGAGCAAACGGG
rnacentral:rRNA from 1 species